AAGAGAGGCUAGGAGCACUAAGGACUGCUAAUCCUUUAGUCCCAUGGUUCGAUCCCAUGGCUCACUUA
rnacentral:tRNA from 1 species